GGAUUAGAUACCCUGGUAGUCCACGCCGUAAACGAUGAUCACUGGUUGUUUGCCGGCAUAGGUAAGCGACUGAGCGAAAGUGUUAAGUGAUCCACCUGGGGAGUACGUUGGCAACAAUGAAACUCAAAGGAAUUGACGGGGGCCCGCACAAGCGGAGGAACAUGUGGUUUAAUUCGAUGAUACGCGAGGAACCUUACCCGGGCUUAAAUGUAGAUUGCAUAAUACAGAGAUGUAUUUUUCUUUCACGAGACUAUCUACAAGGUGCUGCAUGGUUGUCGUCAGCUCGUGCCG
rnacentral:rRNA from 1 species